rnacentral:rRNA from 1 species
AGAAACUAACAAGGAUUCCCCUAGUAACGGCGAGUGAAGCGGGAUGAGCUCAAAUUUAAAAUCUGGCGGCCUCAGGUCGUCCGAGUUGUAGUCUAGAGAAUCGUUUUCCGCGUUGGCCUGUGUACAAGUCCCUUGGAACAGGGCGUCAUAGAGGGUGAGAAUCCCGUCCUUGACACAGAUUACCAAUGCUUUGUGAUGCGAUCUCGAAGAGUCGAGUUGUUUGGGAAUGCAGCUCAAAAUGGGUGGUAAAUUCCAUCUAAAGCUAAAUAUUGGCGAGAGACCGAUAGCGAACAAGUACCGUGAGGGAAAGAUGAAAAGCACUUUGGAAAGAGAGUUAAACAGUACGUGAAAUUGUUAAAAGGGAAACGAUUGAAGUCAGUCAUGCUUUCCGAGACUCAGCCGAUUCUGUCGGUGUACUUCUCGGUUGGCAGGCCAGCAUCAGUUUCGAUCUGUGGAAAAGGUUGGAGGGAACGUAGCAUCUUCGGAUGUGUUAUAGCCCUUCUUCGAAUACAUAGAAAAGGGGUGAGGAACGCAGCGCGCCUUUUAUUAGGUUGGCCCUCGGGUACAUACG